UACGGGGGGAGCAAGCGUUGUUCGGAUUUACUGGGCGUAAAGGGCGCGUAGGCGGCCACUGCAAGUCGGUUGUGAAAUCUCCGGGCUUAACCCGGAAAGGUCAACCGAUACUGCAGGGCUAGAGUGCAGAAGGGGCAACUGGAAUUCUCGGUGUAGCGGUGAAAUGCGUAGAUAUCGGGAGGAACACCAAUUGCGAAGGCAGCUCGCUGGGACGUCACUGACGCUGAGACGCGAAAGCGUGGGGAGCAAACAGG
rnacentral:rRNA from 1 species